rnacentral:rRNA from 1 species
GACGUAGGGCGCGAGCGUUGUCCGGAUUUAUUGGGCGUAAAGAGCUCGUAGGCGGCUUGUCGCGUCGACUGUGAAAACCCGAGGCUCAACUUCGGGCUUGCAGUCGAUACGGGCAGGCUAGAGUUCGGUAGGGGAGACUGGAAUUCCUGGUGUAGCGGUGAAAUGCGCAGAUAUCAGGAGGAACACCGAUGGCGAAGGCAGGUCUCUGGGCCGAUACUGACGCUGAGGAGCGAAAGCAUGGGGAGCGAACAGG